rnacentral:rRNA from 1 species
GAUGAACGCUGGCGGCGUGCCUAAUACAUGCAAGUCGAGCGAACGGACGAGAAGCUUGCUUCUCUGAUGUUAGCGGCGGACGGGUGAGUAACACGUGGAUAACCUACCUAUAAGACUGGGAUAACUUCGGGAAACCGGAGCUAAUACCGGAUAAUAUUUUGAACCGCAUGGUUCAAAAGUGAAAGACGGUCUUGCUGUCACUUAUAGAUGGAUCCGCGCUGCAUUAGCUUGUUGGUAAGGUAACGGCUUACCAAGGCAACGAUGCAUAGCCGACCUGAGAGGGUGAUCGGCAACACUGGAACGGAGACACGGUCCAGACUCCUACGGGAGGCAGCAGUAGGGAAUCUUCGGCAAUGGGCGAAAGCCUGACGGAGCAACGCCGCGUGAGUGAUGAGGGUCUUCGGAUCGUAAAACUCUGUUAUUAGGGAAGAACAUAUGUGUAAGUAACUGUGCACAUCUUGACGGUACCUAAUCAGAAAGCCACGGCUAACUACGUG